UGCGUGCCUUCUUGCCACAGGGCCA
rnacentral:misc_RNA from 1 species